rnacentral:rRNA from 1 species
ACUCAAAUGAAUUGACGGGGGCCCGCACAAGCAGUGGAGUAUGUGGUUUAAUUCGAAGCAACGCGAAGAACCUUACCAGGGCUUGACAUAUACAGGAAUAGUAUGGAAACAUAUUAGCUCUUCGGAGUCUGUAUACAGGUGGUGCAUGGUUGUCGUCAGCUCGUGUCGUGAGAUGUUGGGUUAAGUCCCGCAACGAGCGCAACCCCUAUUGUUAGUUGCUAACGAGUAAAGUUGAGAACUUUAACAAGACUGCCGGUGAUAAAUCGGAGGAAGGUGGGGACGACGUCAAAUCAUCAUGCCCUUUAUGUCCUGGGCUACACACGUACUACAAUGGGUGUAACAGAGAGAAGCAAAGCAGUAAUGUGGAGCGAAACUCAAAAAGCAUCCUCAGUUCGGAUUGAAGGCUGAAAUUCGCCUUCAUGAAGUCGGAAUUGCUAGUAAUGGCAGGUCAGCAUACUGCCGUGAAUACGUUCCCGGGCCUUGCACACACCGCCCGU